rnacentral:hammerhead_ribozyme from 1 species
AUUCAGCUGAUGAGUCCCAAAUAGGAAGAAAUGCGUGUCAAACUGGAU